GUGGGGAAUCUUCCACAAUGGACGAAAGUCUGAUGGAGCAACGCCGCGUGAGUGAAGAAGGGUUUCGGCUCGUAAAGCUCUGUUGUCGGGGACGAAUGUGCAGUAUUUGAAUAAAGUACUGCAAUGACGGUACCUGACGAGGAAGCCACGGCUAACUACGUGCCAGCAGCCGCGGUAAUACGUAGGUGGCAAGCGUUGUCCGGAAUUAUUGGGCGUAAAGGGAGCGCAGGCGGGAAGGUAAGUCGGUCUUAAAAGUGCGGGGCUCAACCCCGUGAUGGGAUCGAAACUAUCUUUCUUGAGUGCAGGAGAGGAAAGUGGAAUUCCUAGUGUAGCGGUGAAAUGCGUAGAUAUUAGGAGGAACACCAGUGGCGAAGGCGGCUUUCUGGACGGUGUCUGACACUGAGGCGCGAAAGCCAGGGGAGCGAACGGGAUUAGAUACCCUGGUAGUCC
rnacentral:rRNA from 1 species